rnacentral:misc_RNA from 1 species
GGGGUUGCUUCAUUUUUGGAGAAAAAGUAAAAAAGUUCAAAUCUUUUUGAGUAAAAAAAGGGUAUUUCUUGCUUUUUAUGGUCAUUAAUAAUUUCCACAAGAAAGAUAAAUUAGUGGAGUUGAGUUUGUUAGGAUUUUGGUAGACUUUUCACAGGAAAACUGGGAUUGUCACAAGGGGAAAAGUAUCCAAUUUUCAACUGCUUUG